UUUAGUAUAUUUUGUCACAGAUGAGAACACCAAGAGAUUACGCCCCUAGUUUCUCCUCAGAAAAAAAUGGUCCUGAAGAAAAGUGUGUGAGAUUCCAGAUCCCUUCGCCAUUCUCCCCACCCAUGGCUACGCCUCUGUUUCCGGAUAUGUCAUUAGAUGAAUUACAAUUUAGAUUUUCGUUAUUUUAUGCUCCAAACAUUCCAGCGAGUUUAAUGUCCUUCACAAUUAGUAA
rnacentral:lncRNA from 1 species